rnacentral:rRNA from 1 species
UGCCAGCAGCCGCGGUAAUACGGAGGGCGCAAGCGUUGUUCGGAAUCAUUGGGCGGAAAGCGGGUGUAGGCGGCAAGGUAAGUCGGGUGUGAAAUCCCUGGGCCCAACCCAGGAACUGCACUCGAAACUGCCUUGCUAGAGUCCCGGAGAGGGUGGCGGAAUUCCCGGUGUAGAGGUGAAAUUCGUAGAUAUCGGGAGGAACACCAGUGGCGAAGGCGGCCACCUGGACGGUGACUGACGCUCAGACCCGAAAGCGUGGGGAGCAAACAGGAUUAGAUA